GUUUUAAUAAUUUAAUAAAAAUAUUGGUCUUGUAAAUCAAACUUAAGGGAAGCCUUUUAAAACU
rnacentral:tRNA from 2 species